UACAGAGGUCCCAAGCGUUGUUCGGAUUCACUGGGCGUAAAGGGUGCGCAGGUGGGUUUGCAAGUUCGAUGUGAAAGCCCCGGGCUUAACCCGGGAAUGGCAUUGGAUACUGCAGAUCUGGAGGAUCGGAGGGGGGACUGGAAUUCUUGGUGUAGCAGUGAAAUGCGUAGAUAUCAAGAGGAACACUAGUGGCGAAGGCGAGUCCCUGGACGAUACCUGACACUGAGGCACGAAAGCUAGGGGAGCAAACAGG
rnacentral:rRNA from 1 species